UUUUGAGUUAAUUUCAACAAAAAGUAUUUGAAUUACUUACUAACUUACCACUUCAUAAAUUAGUUACUAGCAAAAGUAUUUAUUGUGUUAGUUUUUUGAAAAACCUUCAGUUAUCUGGUGUGUACUUGUUUGGAGUACAUUUUGAAGUGUCGCAUCUGUGACUUUGAGUCAGCCACCAAAAGUGACGUCAGCGAGUGAGAGUGAAGUCAGCUGUUUGCUGGGAGUUACACUCUGGGUAGUCACUGACAUGACUUGUGUUUGACAUCUCCCACUGAAUGUGAUCUCCAAGUCUUGUCCGUGUUAGUUCAUGAAGACGUUGAACUUGCUUCAGUGGCCUUGCGUCUCCUUAUGUAACAAUAUGAACAUUUCAUAUCACGGUAUUGUUGAAUGUGCUCCAAAGUACUUAUGCACACACUGAGAUCCUUUAGCCAAGUUUUAUUUAGAAAAUUAAACAAAUACACAUACAACAUACUUUUCAAAUCAAACUUUAUUUAUUAAGCACUUUUCAUGCAUAGGCAAGUGGCAAACACAAACUGCUGUACAAAAAAUAAAUAGAAGAAGAGAAGAAAACACGCAUUCACACGCAGCACUAAUGAUAAUAAAGCAAAAACCAAACAAGGCAUGACUGAGGAUUUGAGGAAAAACGCAACCUUUGAGGCGUCAACACUGGAGAAAAAUGAAGCCAUCUAAAACAUUUUUUUUUAUAAAAAUAUGAUAAAAUAUACAGUAUGUAAAUAAUACACUUAAAUGCAAACACACAUAUAGAAACAAACAAAUACUUACAUUAGCUGGCGUGGAGCAAUCCAGCCUCGGAACCCACCGUCCAACAAGAAUCGGCCAUCCAUCCCUGCCCAACAGCCCUGGCCGCGUGUCGCUCCCCCAAGGGACAACCCCCGACAAUCCCACACCCAAACAACAGCACAACAUCGUACGAAAUUAAAUAUGAUUGGAUUUCGUCUCUGUCAAUCUUUUCGUAUUGUUUUAGUCAACGCGCUUUUGUUUUCAUUCACUAUCGUCCUCAUUUCGUCAAGGGAAAAUAGGUCGUUGACGAUAACGAAAAAGAAACAUUUUUAGUCAACAAAAUUAGCACUGGCAAAAAGCAACUGCCGAGCGAAACAGGUCAUUUCCUGCCGUACAAACCAGGCCAAAACAAACUCUGUCAACUGUCAUGACAACAACAGCUGCUCUGUCUCUCUCUCUCUCUUGCACCAACACACACACUCAUGACUCCGGAUUUACACUGGAUGCAAAACGGCUCCGCUACGGCGGCAGACUCUUACCGUUUCCAAUUCAAGCGGAACAUCACAAUUCCGCAUUCCAGCACUAAAUACACGCAAGUCUUCUCUUUAGGGCUAGGCGAUAUGGACAAAAACUGAUACAGCUGUAUUUUCAGUUUGUAUACCAGUAUCUGAUAUAUACCGGUAUAUUAGAAAAAAAGUGCUUAAGGUUGCCUCACUGUUUUAUGGCUAGAUAACCAGUGUUGAGAGCGCUCAAAUUAUUGGUGUUGUAAGUAGUAGAUAGAUACAUAGUACUUUAUUGAUUCCUUCAGGAGAGUUCCCUCAGGAAAACAAAGUAACGUGAUGUGUUGUUUAUUCUUUAAAAAGUAAUAAGUUAGCCGUUACUAUGUUAGGUUUCUAUUCUCACUCUUGUGCACGGGAUAGAUGGGGUUUCUACUUGCUCACUCGCUGGCUGUUAAGUUUAAAACUACUUUUCAGCCACCCAGCCGCUACACAGUAACAAGCUACAUGUAGCGAAGCUUCAUAGCUUAACUACGUUUUCCAGUAGCUUCGCAGUAGCUUAGCUACAUUUUUACGAGUACCGUAUUUUUCGGACUAUAAGACUAUACACCUAUGUAGAUAUUGCACCAAAAACCAGACAUUUGCAGCUAGAAUAGUCAUUUACCACAUUAGCAAUGUAUAGAGUGUAUUUCUUUAAAGUUAAGACUAGUUUAAAGUUAUCUUCAUUGAAAAGUACAGUGCUUUUCCUUCAAAGAUAAGGACAUUUCAAUGUGACCCCAAACUUUUGAACGGUAGUGUAUAUGUUGGUUAUAUAUGUUGUUUAUAUAUGUUGGUUAUAUAGUCCAAGUUUCAACAGCACAUUUGAUGGAUACAUGACAAUUUCAGAACAAAUAUAACAGAUGAUAAUUGAUGAUAAUGACAAGUCGGUAUACAUACACCAAUAUGAAUAUAUUUUGUUUGAUUCAUUGAUUAUUAUUAUUUAUUUUUUUCUUAGUCCACAUGAUGUCCAAUUCAUGUUUCUUAUUGUGUUAUUUUGUUCAGAUUCAUGAACCAAUUUUACGUGAUCUUAUCUUAGCUACGUUUAGACCCAUGGGGCAAGGUGGCUUUCAUCAAAGCUACAAGCUACAAUGAGAGAGAAUGGACUACGAAUGCAGGCCAAAAAAAGGACAAAAAAUACUAUGACCUGGAUGAAUGGGAACAUCUAUUCAUACAGAGAAAAUCUAUGAUGAUUGGUUUGUGAUGGUGUGAUGAGUCACAAUUGGCUACGGUUAGGGCGAAACAAUACCGACUGGCCAGUCAGAGGCAAGUUAAGUCCGGGGUUUGACUCAGCCACUGAUGCGUUCACGGCCACACAAAACGUCGGACAACUCCAACGCCACACACACACUGUAACCGCCAGGUCGUUACAUUAUGAUGCGUCAUUAACAGAAUGUUAUGCGUGCGUGUCGUGCUGCAGAGUUAAGAGAGAUAAAUGCGGAUCAUUUUUUUUUAUUAGGGUGAAAUAAUUAAUGACUGUACACCCACACUCAAUCAAUGUCUGCUUAUUCUAGUCAUUUAUUAAGAAUGGUAAUUUAUGGAUAUUAACCAUGAAAUGCUGUCACUAGAUUACAGAAAUGCUCAUAAAAAGAUAUAUUUUACAGACAGGAAGUUAAAGGAAUGUACACUUUAUUGGAUGUUCCUGCUACAGCGCACAUCUCCCACAUCUAAAUGUGGUCUAUGAAAGGGGUGCAAAUUCUUUCCACAGCAGGACCCUGAGCCGGACAUACAAUGUUAGCACAUAGCUCAUGAAAAACAAGAUUUUUUUGCUGUUUCAUUUUAAGUAGGUCAAACACCUACAGCAGGGGUCGACAACCCGAAAUGUUGGAAGAGCCAUAUUGGACCGAAAAAAAAUCUGUGUUAUAAUGAAGACAACAUAUGACCUUCUUCCUGUUGCAACACACCGACAGCCUGCAGACCAACACACAGACACAGGAGGAGGAGGAGGAGGAAGAGUGACACGAUGAAGCUGUGAAGAAUUGUCUCAGCAGCCUUCCACUCUGGUAAGGUGCUUGCACACAGCAUCACCAUAGAAAUGAGGACAAACACCACAGACACAAAGGCCAGGAUUUGUGCCGCCAAGGAGGACGUGGGCUCCUCAAACGUCCUCCUCAUCCUCUCCAGCCAGCGAUCCCGAGGCUCUUCAGGGCCCUGUGGCUCCUCUUCGGGGAAGAAGUGAACAAAGCAGUCUGACAGACGUUCGUCCAGCCGCCGCUGGCAGCACACUUGAAGGUCUGCACUCUCAAGGCCCCAGUAGAGCAUCUCGUUGUAGAAGGACAACUCACACAUGUGCGGCACAAAGCGCAACUUGCCAUGUUGCAGGUACAGCAUAAUGAAGCUGAACGCCUCAGAAUGCCGGUCGAAGAAAAACUCGUUUCUGUCACGGUCGUAGUCGUCGCAGAGCUCCAACAACUCGCUCUCCGACACACAGCGGUAAAGGCGGCUCAGUCUGCUCAGCGGGAGGUGCUUCAUCAGCUCCACCGAGAAAGAAAACCUGCGGCCGCCAACGUUGAGAGUGCACAGACUGCUUCCAAACUUCAUCUUCUGUCAAACUUUAUUUUGUCUUUGAUGACAGUUCCUACUGUUCAAAUGGCGUCCGACAUCCUUGGUUGGCACUGUUUCUCCUUGCUCCAAAUAGUCGUCUUCAAGCCCGCUUGAAUGAAAAGAAAAAAGUUCUCAGUAAUUAUCAACAAAAGCAAAAACACAUCUUUGAAUUAGGAAUUUGACAUUUCCUCUCUCACACAGUAGGGUUAGAACAGAC